rnacentral:rRNA from 1 species
UACAGAGGUCUCAAGCGUUGUUCGGAUUCAUUGGGCGUAAAGGGUGCGUAGGCGGCGCGGUAAGUCGGGUGUGAAAUCUCGGAGCUUAACUCCGAAACUGCAUUCGAUACUGCCGUGCUUGAGGACUGGAGAGGAGACUGGAAUUUACGGUGUAGCGGUGAAAUGCGUAGAUAUCGUAAGGAAGACCAGUGGCGAAGGCGGGUCUCUGGACAGUUCCAUGACGCUGAGGCACGAAGGUCAGGGGAGCAAACGGG